GGAGAGGACUGGAGGACAGAAGGAGACUGAACUACAGGAGAGGACUGGAGGACAGAAGGAGACUGAACUACAGGAGAGGACUGGAGGACAGAAGGAGACUGGACUACAGGAGAGGACUGGAGGACAGGAGAGGACUGGACUACAGACUGGGCUGGAGAGGACUGGACUACAGACUGGGCUGGAGAGGACUGGACUACAGACUGGGCUGGAGAGGACUGGACUACAGACUGGGCUGGAGAGGACUGGACUACAGACUGAGCUACAGGGGCUGACUGGACAGGGGCUGACUGGACAGGGGCUGACUGGACAGGGGCUGACUGGACAGGGGCUGACUGGACAGGGGCUGACUGGACAGGGGCUGACUGGAGUGGAGCAGGCUGUACUACUGACUGGAGUGGAGCAGGCGACUGAGCUACAGGUGACUGGACGAGAGCAGGUGACUGAGCUACAGGAGACUGGACGAGAGCAGGUGACUGAGCUACAGGAGACUGGACGAGAGCAGGUGACUGAACUACAGGGGAGUGAACUGGCUGGACCGGGAGAUGAACAGCAGGUGAGUGGACUGACUGGGCUAGAAGCUGAACAGCAGGUGAGUGGACUGACUGGGCUAGAAGCUGAACAGCAGGUGAGUGGACUGACUGGGCUGGAAGCUGAACAGCCGGUGAGUGAACUGACUGGAGUGGGGAUGCUAAGGGAUGAAUAGAGGUGGGUGAGGCUGACGACGGAGCUGUGGUUGGUGUGGCUGGUGGCUGAGCUAUAGACUGUGCUAGUGAGGGAGAUAAAGCUAUAGCCUGGGCUAGUAACGCUGGUGCCUGAGCAGGAGAAACCUCAGCUAGCUUAACCAGUGAUAAUGC
ensembl:lncRNA